GUGUUAUAAAACUUAUUUAGCAAAGCACACAGUAGGGCAUAGGCACCAGCUCAUUUGUUAAGUUGGCCAAACAGUGAAAGUUGACAGAGAAAAUGGCAAGUGUGAAAAGAACACCAAAGGGAAUCUCUACUUUCAGCUGAAGGCGCCACUCAAUGGAGUUGAGGCCAUUCUCCAUGGGCAGGGAGAUAUUGCAGCGCCCGAUGGUGGGGGUGAUGGUGCCCGCGAGCACGUGGGGCUCGCUGUGGAAGCUCACGCCCAUCCCAUUGGCGUACAUCACCCGCAGGGUCCCGUUGUUGCAGAGCUGGCUGAUGGUUUACCAUGGGUCAGAUCCACUGCAAAUCAAGUCUAGGAUUCUUCAAGAAGCAGCAGCCUUCCUGCCCUCAUCUCUUUGCUGCUAACUCUACCAUGAUGCCACCUCCACACCAGACAAAUCUGAGGAGCCUCAAAUAGCAAGAGAGAGACUGAGCCAGUGGGUGCUGAUAAUGUGUGUUUAUCUGCCCAAAUGGAAUCUACACUCGUCCAUCAGACUUCUGACCUUUUCCCUUAUCGAAAAAUUCCAGGCCCCGUGCUUGUCCUGGAGUGUGCGUCAUGUUGAACAGCAAGAGUAACUACGAGCUGGUCAGAGACCUUUACGGUCUGGGCAAGAGACUGCUAAAGGGCUCUGUGACUUGAGGACAACGGACUCAUCACACAAAUGUUUAAUAGAAUGAGACUAAAACCACCUUUGAGGAGGCAGCUGUGUUUGUUGGGCUGGUCACCACCCCCGUGGGGCGUGUCACGUUGGUGAGGCGGCCCUCGUGGUCAUAGCUGGAGAAGAGAUACACUGAUGAGAAGCAGUUCCUGGGGCUGAAGACUUCCUCAAAACUCAGAACCCCACAAGGGAUAGACUCACGGGGCUAGGAGAGAGAGGGGGAAGGUGGGGUGGCCAGAUGGUGCAGCACGCCCACCUGCCCUGGGAAAUGGUGAUGCUUUCUACUAUCCACCCAUUUACCUAACAACAUACUCAGUGAAAGCAUUUCACCUCAGGCAAGGGGUACUUAAUUACGCUUUCCCAAGUUAGUGAGAACAGCUCCUUUAUGCUCUUUAAUUUGGGCUCCACAAAGUAAAGGACUAAUGAAUGAACAAGAAAAUCUGAAUAGACCAAUGAGGAGUAAGGAGACUGACUCAUGAAUCAAACCCUCCCACCAAACGGAAGUCCAAGAUCACUCAGCUGGCUUCCUGGUGAGUUCUACUGAAUAUGCAAAGAAGAAUUAAUACCAGUCUUUUUCAAACUCUUCCAAAAAAUAAACAGGAAGGAACACUCCAAAGUCAUUUUAUAAGGCUGGCAUUACCCUGAUACCAAAGCCAUACAUGGACACUGCCAGAAAACAAAAUUACAAUUCAGUGUCUCUAAACAUAAAUGCAAGCAUCCUCAACAAAAUAUUAGCAAAUCAAAUACAACAGUACAGUAAGAGGCUCAGACACCAUGAUCAAGUGGGAGUUAUUCUAGGGAAUGCAAAGAUGGUUCACAUCAGCAAAUCAUUCCAUGUGAAAUACCAUAUUAUCAUCUCAAUAGAUGAAGAAAAACAUUGACAAAAUUGACAAGAAAACCCUCAAUGAAGUGGAUAUAGAGGGAACAUAUCUCAACAUGAAAAGACAGACCAUAGCUAACCUCAGACACAGUGGUAAAAUCUGACCAUUUUUUCCUCUAAGAUCAGGAACAAGACAAAGAAUGCCACUUUAUUCAACAUAAUAUUGGAAGUCUUAUCCAGAGCAAUUAGCCAAGGAAAAAAGGUAUUAUUUGAUAAUAACAUAUUCUAUAUAUGUGUAUAAAACCCUAAAAACUUCACCCAAAAAAACUGUCAGAAAUAAGUUCAGUAAAGUUGAAGGAUACAAAUAUAUAAAAUCUAUUGUGCUUCUAUAAACUAAUAACAAAGUACCAGAAAGAAAAUUUUAAAAACCAUUUAUAGUUAUAUCAAAGAAGAAAAAAAUACCUAGGAAUACAUUUAACCAAGGAGGUAAAAAACCUGUACAUUGAAAGUUAGGACACUGAUGUAAGAAAUCAAAGAAUAUACAAAUAAAUGAAAAGAUAGUAUAUGCUUAUGGAUUGGAAUAAUUAAUAUUGAUAAAUUAUCCAUGCUGUCCAAAGCAAGUUACUGUCUCAAUGCAAUCUCUGUCAAAAUUCUAACGGUCUCUUCAGCAAGUGGUGUUGGGAAAGCUGGACAGUCACCUGAGAAGGAAUGAAACACUGUCUUCUGCCACUCACGAAACUGACUCAAAUGGAAUGAACACCUGAAUAGAGGGCCUGAAACCACAAGUCCUAGAAGUAAACAGAGGCGCUAAGCUCCAUGACAUUAGUGUUGUGGUUUUUAUUUUUUGCACUUGACACAAAAGCAAAGGUAAUAAAAGCACAAACCAACAAGUGGGAUUAUUUCAAACUAAAGAGCUUUUGCACAGCAAAGCAAACCAUCCACAGAAUAAGGCAAUGUACUGAGUGAGAGAGAAUAUUUGCAAAUCUGACAAGAGAAAAUAUCCAAAUAUAUAAAGAAUUUAUACAACCCAAUAGCCAAAAGCACGAACAAUUGGACUAAAAAAUGAGAGAACAUACAGAUGGUCCAUCAGGUACAUGAGAAGAUACUCAGCAUCGUUAAUCAUUAGGGAGUUGCAAAUCAAAACCAUACUGAAAUAUUGCCUCACAAUAGUUAGAGUGGCUCUUAUGAAAAAACAACACCAACCAUGUUGGUGGUGACCUGAAGGAAAGGGAACCUCCUACACGGUUGUUGAGAAUGUAAAUUGGUGCAAUCACUAUAGUACACAGUAUGGGGAUUUUCACAGAGUAGAAUUAUCCUGUGAUCCAACGCAACGGCUCCACUUCUGGGUGGAAUCUGAGGAACACAAACACGCUAAUUUGAAAAUAUUUAUGCACUCACAUAUUCACUGCAGCAUUAUGUACCACAGUCAAGAUAUGGAUUAAGGGGUCCAUCUCCAAGAUGAAUCAAAAGAAAAAGCUAUGCUAUAAACAGAACAUUAUCCAGCCAUAAAAAGAAUGAAAUUAUGCCAUUUGUGACAACACGCAUGGAUUUGAGGGCAUGAUGCUAAGUGAAAUACGUCAGACAGAGAGACAAAUCCCCUAUGAUUUCAGCUAUAUGUAGGUCUCAAAAACAACAAAACCCCACAAAAAACCAAGCCUAUAGACACAGAGAACUGAUUGGUGGUGGCUAGAAGUGAGGGGUAGAUGAAGGGGGUCAAAAGGUACGUAAUUUCCAGUCUCCCAAGGCAAUAGAAAUAAAAAAUAAACAAAUGGGACCUAAUCACACGCACAAGUUUUUGCACAGCAAAGGGAACCAUAAACAAAACAACAGACCUACAGACUGAGAGAAAUAUUGGCAAACAAUGUGACCAAGAAGGGCUUAAUUAGCAAAAUAUACAAACAGCUCACACAACUCAGUAACAAAAAAGCAAACAACUCAAUCAAAAAAAUGGGCAGAGGACCUAAAAAGACAUCUCUUCAAAGAAGGCAUACAGAUGGCCAAGAGGCACAUAAACAGAUGCUCAACAUAGCUGAUUACUAGAGACAUACAAAUCAAAAACUACAAUGGGAGUUUGGGUCAGAAGAACCACCAUCAAAAAGUCCAAAAAUAACAAACACUGGGGAGGAUGUGGAGAAAAGGGACAGCUCCUGCACUGGUGUGGGAAUAUAAGCUGGUGCAGC